AUUUUUCAUGGGUUUUGUUUGGUAUUGUUUAAAGUUCGAAUUUUUGUUUCUGGGUUAGCUUGAGUUGAUUAUUUUUAAUAUUUUUGUUUUGGGUUUUGUAUUAGAAAUGUUAGUUGAUCUUAGAAGAACAAAGUCUUAUCUUUUGGCUUGCGGGUAGCGGGUUGACUAAUAGUGUUAGCUUUGGUUCUUUUGUUGUUAAUCUGUGACUUUGAGCUUCUUUCUGCUUGUUUAAGUCAGAAAAUUUGGGAAAUAAAAGUUGGACUAGAUGGAAAUGGAAGAGUUUAAUUUGACUUUCUUCAAUUUGUCUACUGAUGUUAUCUAAUUCUAACUUUCAUAGAUUUUUGGGACUUUCUAUUUAGGGGCUGGGAAUUAAAACUAGUUUUGUUGCUUGUA
rnacentral:misc_RNA from 1 species